rnacentral:misc_RNA from 1 species
AAGUCGUAACAAGGUUUCCGUAGGUGAACCUGCGGAAGGAUCAUUAACACGUUAUCCAAACGUAACACUAAGAGAAUUGGUUUAAUUAUCUACCGACGUCCGGAAUGAACAGCAGCAAGAUAGAGUGAUGGAUUGGGGUAUGAUCUUCGGGUCCCCGUGCUCUAUUUGUUAUUCAGCGCAAGCUGUACUGUUGUAUUCGGUUCGGCGGCCCCCUCUCGUCGCGCAAAUCUCUUUCCAUGAAGUGCGCGUCGGGAAACCUAUCAUAACAAAUCUAACCACUAUUUUGCUAGUUGACUUUAUUUAUGUUGUUCACGAGCGCAAGCGAGUGUUCACACGUUUGAUUUAAUUGAACGUUAAAGAUACAACUCUUAGCAAUGGAUAUCUAGGUUCUC